rnacentral:rRNA from 1 species
GACGAACGCUGGCGGCGUGCUUAACACAUGCAAGUCGAACGGUGACGCGCCUUCCUUUUUGGUGGGUGUGGAUGAGUGGCGAACGGGUGAGUAACACGUGAGUAACCUGCCCCCUUCUUCUGGCUAACCGCAUGAAAGUGUGGCUAAUACGGGAUAUUCUGGGUCUGUAGCAUGAUGGGUCUGGGUAAGAUGUUGUUUCGGUGGGGGAUGGGCUCGCGGCCUAUCAGCUUGUUGGUGGGGUGAUGGCCUACCAAGGCGGUGACGGGUAGCCGGCCUGAGAGGGUGGACGGGCAGACUGGGACGGAGACACGGCCAAGACGCCUACGAGACGCAGCAGUGGGGAAUAUGGGAGGAAGGGCGCAAGCAUGAUGCAGCGACGCCGCGGGAGGGAUGGAGGCCUGCGGGGUGAGAACCGCUUUCGCCAGGGAAGCAGGCCUGCCUCGUCUGUGAGGGGGUUGACGGUAGCUGGAUAAGAAGCCCCGGCUAACUACGUG